GAUCUGUGAUAAGAAACAGCGAAAUCUAAGCACCAGAAAAUCAGCUGAUCUACAUGGUGUUUUGAUUUGUGUACGGUUCUGGGA
rfam:Alligator mississippiensis ScZkoYb_298, whole genome shotgun sequence.